rnacentral:rRNA from 1 species
CCUCCGGGAGGCAGCAGUGGGGAAUAUUGCACAAUGGGCGCAAGCCUGAUGCAGCCAUGCCGCGUGUGUGAAGAAGGUCUUCGGAUUGUAAAGCACUUUAAGUUGGGAGGAAGGGUUGUAGAUUAAUACUCUGCAAUUUUGACGUUACCGACAGAAUAAGCACCGGCUAACUCUGUGCCAGCAGCCGCGGUAAUACAGAGGGUGCAAGCGUUAAUCGGAAUUACUGGGCGUAAAGCGCGCGUAGGUGGUUUUUUAAGUUGGAUGUGAAUGCCCCGGGCUCAACUCGGGAACUGCAUUAAAAACUUACUGACUAGAGUGUGGUAGAGGGUUGUGGAAUUUCCUGUGUGGCGGUGAAAUGCGUAGAUAUAGGAAGGAACACCAGUGGCGAAGGCGACCACCUGGACUAAUACUGACACGGAGGUGCGAAAGCGUGGGGAGCAAACAGGAUUAGAUACCCCUGUAGUC